rnacentral:piRNA from 6 species
UUCUCACUACUGCACUUGACUAGU